rnacentral:ncRNA from 1 species
UAAACGAAAAGGCAAAGCUGCCGAGCAGUCACGCAAAGCCACGGGUUUCUAUAUUUGAGUUUGUGAUAGCCGGGCUGCCGAA